CUUGAAAUUCGAAGUUUUGUUUGACUAAGAAUGCUUGAAAGAGUAAUGCUACUCAUCAUCUCAAUUUCUAUCAUCCUUCCAUCAUUCUAUGAUGUGGCAUUAGGUGAUUAAAAAUUAUUUAUUAUAUUUCACUUAUAAACCUAUCAU